AGACCCUGCCCACACUUGUGAUUCAGAGGUCCCCAGAUCUCUCUGUCUGUGGUGAAUUGAUCGGGAAUCAGCCAACCCAGGCCAAUGGUGAUCUUGUCAAGGCCAGAUACAUGGAUAAGAGGCGAAAGAGAAAGGAGAGCACAAGGGGCUGCCACCGCCACCACCAGCACAGUGUGCGGGAGCCCAGAGGAGACCUGGGCUGUCUCCCUGCCUCCUCUUUCCAGCAAUCUGCUAAAACAGGGUGGAUUACCAAGAAGUUCCAGGCAUGCAGAGACAUGCCUCACCUGAGGACAUUAAAAAGACAUCCACAGCAAAAAAAAAAAAGUGACAAUUACAGCCAAGAAGUAUUAAAUGAGGGAGGUAGGAGAUAGAAGUCAUUUUGUCAGUCCGUGUGAGCUUGGCUUCACAUUCCAUAACCCAGGUGAUGUCUUCAGGGAACUAUUUGGUGGAAGGGACCCAUUUUCAUUCAACUCCUUUGAAGAUUCAUUUGAGGACUUUUUUGGGAAUUGGAGGGGAUCCCCGAGGAAGCAGAGGCCGAGGGAUGUGGUCAUUUUUCUCUGCCUUCACUGGAUUUCCAUCUUUUGGAAGUGGAUUUUCUUCUUUUGAUACAGGAUUUAUUUCAAUCAGGUCACUAGGUCACAGGGGCCUCACUUCAUUCUCUUCCAUGUCAUUUGGUGGUAGUGGGAUGGGCAACUUCAAAUUGAUAUCAACUUCUACUAAAAUGGUUAACAGCAGAAAAACCACAACAAAGAGAAUUGUCAAGAAAGAGUAGAAGUUGAAGAUGACAGCCAGUUAAAUGAUGGCCAGUUAAAUAAAGUCUUUAACAAUACAUGGUGAGGGGCAGGCAGCAGCUGAGCUUGGAUAACAAGCAAUUCAAUGCACACAUUUAACAGAAAUGUUCAACUACAACAAGCACCAUUUGAAGAUUAACAGGAACAAUUUUUUGACGAUUUCAAACAAACUUGCCUUUCAGUAUAGUUGCACCUAAUCUAAAGU